UGUUAUUUCGAUUCUUGCUCACUUCCGCUGCGCAUGUAUGUAUUUUUUCCAUCAACAACGACAUAACGGGACGGUCGACACCUUUCUACUACAGUUUUUGUGGUGGUUUGUGGUGGAGUACGACUGGCGGCAGUGUUUUGCUGCUCUCUCGAUUUUUCGGUGACAACCAAUGACCCUUAACAAGUUAAUUUGGGAGAUCCACACCCUUGUGGCGACGACAGUGGCUGUCGAGGCGUUUUCCUUGUGUUUUGCUGCUGUAAAAAUGUCGAAAGAAAAAAAACAUAGUCCUUGGUGUUCCGCGUUUACUCACUUCCAUUCUAGCCCCGAUUCGCGCUACCUACACCUAUUCAAACUAGAUCUAAGCUACCCACUCCCAAUAGAUGUCAAUUUCGUGGUGUUCAAUCGAUGCAAGAUUUAGGAGCGUGGCAGUGGGUUGCUCGCGCAUUUUUGGAGGACAAAUUGUCAAAACGCAC